rnacentral:rRNA from 1 species
CCUACGGGUGGCAGCAGUGGGGAAUAUUGCACAAUGGGGGAAACCCUGAUGCAGCGACGCCGCGUGAGUGAAGAAGUAUUUCGGUAUGUAAAGCUCUAUCAGCAGGAACGAGACAAGACGGUACCUGACUAAGAAGCCCCGGCUAACUACGUGCCAGCAGCCGCGGUACUACGUAGGGGGCAAGCGUUAUCCGGAAUCACUGGGUGUAAAGGGAGCGUAGACGGCUGAGCAAGCCUGAAGUGAAAGGCGGGGGCCCAACCCCCGGACUGCUUUGGGAACUGUACGGCUGGAGUGCAGGAGAGGUAAGUGGAAUUCCUAGUGUAGCGGUGAAAUGCGUAGAUAUUAGGAGGAACACCAGUGGCGAAGGCGGCUUACUGGACUGUAACUGACGUUGAGGCUCGAAAGCGUGGGGAGCAAACAGGAUUAGAUACCCUUGUAGUC